rnacentral:misc_RNA from 1 species
GCCGCUGUUGACGGCGGUGCAGAUUCCUCACCGGAGGAGGAUAGGUGCCUUGACGCUUUGAAGCGGCUUAAGAAAUUUCCUGUCAAUUAUCAAGUCCUCGUUUCCACACAGGUGGGCAAACGCCUCCGAACGUUGACAAAACAUCCUAGGGAGAAGAUCCAGAUGUUGGCUUCUGAUGUAGUGAAGAACUGGAAGACUAUAAUUGUGAGAGAGACAAUGAAAAAUAAGAACGGCAAUGAAGUAAAUGGGGAAUCUGUAAAAGCUGAAUGUGCUGGCGAUGAUGGUGAUGAAGGCAAUAAAUUUCAGCGUCUUAACUCGGUGAAGGUUGAAAAGGUGGCAAGGGUUGAGAAUGUGACAGUUGAGAGGUCAAGUAAGUCUCUGACUCUAAAAUCUGAGAGAGCAGUGAAGGCAGAAAGUUCCUUCACUGACGUAAAGUCUGAGAAUGUUUCUGUUAUGAAGACUGAGAAUACAACUUCCAAAAGUGUUAAGAUUGAGAAGAAACCCAAGGAUGAAAAGUUGAGAUCUGGGGCUAGUGCUGCCCCACCAAAGUUGUCUGCUCUUGUUUAUUGCAAGGAUCCUGUGAGAGACAAAGUUCGGGAGCUCCUUUCUGAGGCUCUUUGCAAAGUCUCUGUUGAAGUUGAUGACGAUGAUUUGAGGGAUGCUGUGAAUGGUUCUGAUCCUU